rnacentral:rRNA from 1 species
ACUAGUCUGGGAUACCACUUGGAAACAGGUGCUAAUACCGGAUAAGAAAGCGGAUCGCAUGAUCAGCUUUUAAAAGGCGGCGUAAGCUGUCGCUAUGGGAUGGCCCCGCGGUGCAUUAGCUAGUUGGUAAGGUAAAGGCUUACCAAGGCGAUGAUGCAUAGCCGAGUUGAGAGACUGAUCGGCCACAUUGGGACUGAGACACGGCCCAAACUCCUACGGGAGGCAGCAGCC